GAUCUGGUUUUCUUCACAUAACUUUUGCCAUUUUUUCUCCGCCGGAAAAACUGAUAGCUCUCGCCUCUUCCCUUUUACCAUCUCGUCUUUGUCGUUCCACUAAUGGGUUUUUACAGAAGUUGAUUGAACACAGAAGAGAAGAAAAAUGUGAUGUUUUUACAUAUAAGAUUAAGGUUUCAAUGAGAAUCGAUAAUGAGAUAAAGAUUAUGGGUCUGCGGUUUAGAGAAAUUGAAUGAAAUCAGGGAUAGUUGAUGGUCAUGGUGUCGAUCCGUGUGUUGAUUCAAACUCAACAGAAAGUUGAGUAUUUGAGGACUUGGAGUUGUGCUGUACCCAUUUUAUCUGAGAUGGUUGCAUUCAAAAUUAGUCCGUGGUUUGAAUAAACGCUGCAUGAAUUGAUUAUCCUUCCGCCCCAAAAGACCUGAAUUAUUUGCUGGGAAGCUCCUCAGUCUACAGAAAGGUGUAUUGUUAAGGGUUAACAUGAAAGUGGUUCGGAGAUGCUCAAAAGCUUGUUGCUGCCAUGUUCACUUUAGUUCAUAAGCUUCAACCGACUAUUAUCUUUAUUGAUGAGGUUGAUGGCUUUUGGAGGCAUCGCCGUGCUACUGACCACGAAGCUGUGAGAAACAUGAAAACAAAGUUCAUGGCUCUCUGGGAUGGUUUUACCACAAACCAUGACAGUAUGCAGGAUUGUCAUCUAGAGGCAGUUCACAUUUAGGCUUCCAAGGCUCUCCUCAGCCAGCGGUAGCUUUGUUCACGAACUCUGCUUCACUUCCAAGUCUCCUGCCAUACAUACUUAUAUUUCCCUCUUCCAUAAAAGAUAAAAUUCUUCAAAUAACAUGUGUGCGUGCAUCCUUGGAUUUGUAUUGAUAAACUUCCGUCUGUUCUUCAUUUUCAUUAGAUUUCAAUGACAUGAAGAUGAUUUAAUAGGUGCUAACAUGCUACUUUUUUGCAUUGCAGCCUGGUAUAUGAUACACAUUUUUGUGACC